rnacentral:rRNA from 1 species
UAGGGAAUCUUGGUCAAUGGGCGCAAGCCUGAACCAGCCAUGCCGCGUGUGCGAAGAAGGCCCUAGGGUUGUAAAGCACUUUCAGUCGUGAAGAAACUCUCGAGGUUAAUACCUUCGAGCACUGACGUUAACGACAGAAGAAGCACCGGCUAACUCCGUGCCAGCAGCCGCGGUAAUACGGAGGGUGCGAACGUUAAUCGGAAUUACUGGGCGUAAAGCGCGCGUAGGCGGUUCGGUAAGUGGGAUGUGAAAGCCCCGGGCUUAACCUGGGAACUGCAUUCCAAACUGCCAGACUAGAGUAUGGUAGAGGGAGGUAGAAUUUCCUGUGUAGCGGUGAAAUGCGUAGAUAUAGGAAGGAAUACCGAUGGCGAAGGCAGCCUCCUGGACCAAUACUGACGCUGAGGUGCGAAAGCGUGGGGAGCAAACAGGAUUAGAUACCCCCGUAGUCC